UACAGGUUGGAGGGUAUUAUAAAACCAUAUUGUGACACGGAGGCAAAAGUAUAGGAGCAGCACGACAAUUGAGUUUUGUAAACAUACAUACAGUAACAUUGUGUGUGUGUGUGUGUGUGUGUGUGUGUGUGUGUGUGUGUGUGUGUGAGAGAGAGAGAGAGAGAGAGAGAGAGAGAGAGAGAGAGAGAGAGAGAGAGAGAGAGAGAGAGAAAGGAAAGGCAGACUAAUUAGGGAAAGGGAGAAACAUGUAUGAAGACAUGUGUGGAGGUAAAUGUCUGGCAAGGAAGCAACACACACACACACACACACACACACACACACACACACAGACACACAUACCAUGCGGCGUGGGGGAGGAGAGAGACGUUCUAGUUAAGACUGCCUUCAUGGAUCACUCUCACUUGCACAAAGUUUAUUGAGCGCAAGUGCCUGAGAAGAAGAGUGAGGAGCAAAAUGAGGGACAAAAAAGCGGACAAGUUGGAAGAGAGCAGCAGAGUGAGAGAGGACGGGUUGUAGAGCACGAGAGGGGAGGAGAGAGAGCGAGGGAGAGAGAGAGAGAGAGAGAGAGAGAGAGAGAGAGAGGAAGGGGAGAAUGACAGAAGAGUGAGGCAGAGAGACGGACAGAUGGAGGAGAAGCAUGCAGCAGCAGAGAGGAGGAGAAACAAAGCGUGUUGACUGAGGAAGUGUGCAUGCCAUGCGGGCCAUGUGCUCAGAUCCACGAGCGCAGUCCGGGAUGGUGUCUGCAAACCGGGUUUACUUCUGCAACUCCAGCUCCAAAGAAUACAGCCUCUCUUCACGAUGGACGUUACAGAUUGGCGAUGGAGGGCUCCAGUCCUGCUGAUUCUGCACAGAUUAUUCCAGAUAAACAACCGUGUGUUCCCAAAGCCACUCCAAGAAGAGAUGGACUCAGCUGCGUGCAGACAAGUGCGGCGUCCCACCACUCAGCGGCGCCCCGCCACUCAGCGGCCGGCCUCGGUUCACGUGUCUGUGGCUGCUGUCAGUUGCUCAGUAGGCAGUGUAGAUCCUGUGUAGCAAUCAGCAGCUACAUCUGGCUACUGGGUCUCCGACGGCUCUGCCUACUUCCCGGUCGAGCGUGCCCGUUCCACUCCCAUUGGCUGGUGGCACAUUCCGAUCCUCUGAUUGGCUGCGGUGUCGGGUGGGGGGCUCCAUCCUGUGACCCCACAGACAGGAUGUUCUCUGUGUCACAACUCCACAAGGGGCCCUUGUCAAGGCUUUUUGUGUGUUUUUUUCUCUCCUUCCUCUUCCGCCAUUCUUUUUCAUUCUCCCCGUCUCUCCUCUCUCGUGCGCUCUCCCUCAAGCUCCUCUUUGUAAAAUGUCCUCGUAAACUCUAUUAAAGUUAAACUUUCAAGGUAGGAUUUUGCCAAAGGAAAAGCAUGAAUUGAUGCAUGUUUGAAAAGCCUUUGAGGUGAAGAAAUGAACCUUUGCUUUGUCCUGAACCUGGCAUACAAUGUAGAUUUCUGUGUGCUUUAAUUCUACAGCUACAUUGUCUGCUGGGUUUCUGGCUAGCAAUAUAAGCGGCAGUUGUAUAACCGUCCGGUGCUCGGAGGUAAGUAUUCAUCUGUUCUGUCAAUGCCUGACCCUGAUCAUUCAAUAAAAAGAAAAUGUUUCAAGUUAAUACCACCGAGUGACUUGUGCCGUCAUUUGUCCGACUCAAUAUCACCUUUUGAAGGGAGGAAAUAAAAAUCUCAGCAGAAUCUGGAAUCUGCAAAAAAUGUAAAUUG
ensembl:lncRNA uncharacterized LOC115026669